rnacentral:lncRNA from 1 species
CUAGGAGCCCAUUGGCCCUACUCUCAUCUCAUACAGUUUCUUAAUUUCUUGCAGAUAUUUAUUCUUAUCGUUGGAUUCUAAUGUUUUUCUGUCUGUACUGUCUGUUUCAUGGUAGAGCGGAGCACCAAAUUGCCCAAAGCAAAUGAAACAUUCCAGAUAGUGCGAAUCAACCUUAACGCCUCGUUGCUGAAUCGAUCGUACCCUUCCGAUCGAACCUCCUCCUCCUCCUAGCAGUCUCCUUCGGCAGUCUCCUUUGGCCAAUACCUGUUUGCGUCGGCUAUUUGAUCAUGGAUUUGCAGAUAAACUUCGAUGAUUACAUAAUCAAUCUUAUGAAGAGAUUGUUAUAGUUGAUGUAAUAGAUGGUUGCAUUGUGAUAAAAUCAUGUUUGUAUUUUAUUAAGUACUAU